UUGAAAACGAAAAAUGAUUGAAUAUAAAUGUGUACUUGUAAACAAAUGAUUUUAUAUCCUGAAAAAUUAUUGAACCAUAGAGUUGACCAUUUAAAGUGUGUAAAUCAAAAUGUUUAAACUGGGACUGUCUAAUAUCCGUUAAAAUCAUAUGGAUAUAUUGUGAAACCAAUUUAAACCGUCAUGAUUUUUACAUACGGUAUACAAAAUGGAAUAAACAACAAUAUUAAUGUAAAGGAAAUAUCGUGUUUAAAAUUUCCCGUUUACAUAUAAGGAACAAUAUGCGGUAAGUUCUUAUGUACUCGUAUAUAUAUAUUUAUAUUAGUAUAUCGCGCUUAAUUUGUCUUUAGCUACAAUACGUUGGUGUCAAGUUUCAAAUGGAAUCAAAAGUUAAAAACUUGAAAGAUCUGGCUAAAUAUAGACUGAAUAUUAAUUUAGAGAAUGUCUCGAAAGGUACACGAAUGCCACCCAUUCUCUUUAACGCAAAUUUAACUUUUAAGCCUAGUAAGAAUUGUUCUACAUUGUGUAUAGAGGGGUCUGUAUAAUUCCCUUUGUAUUAUAUGUAAAAAAAAUAGAGCUAACUAUCAUUUAAAGAUACCAAAUAUUCACAUGUUUUUUGUGAUAUUUGUGUCUUGCUUUUGUAUAUAAAAAUGAGAUGUACGUGUUAUCAUAAAUAGAUUCACGAGCCUUUCAAAGAACUUGCUUUUAUUCAUAUUUGAAAUGUAAAUUGAAAAGGUUGCAGCGGCCCGUAUCUGACCAUUAUCGUUUAGAUGGCUUAUUAUUUAAAUAUUUAAAACAAAUAAUACUAGAAAUUAACCUUUUCAACAAUAGAAAUUUAAUUCUCAAAAUAAACAGAUAUAGGUAAAUUCACAGUUGUUUGAAUUGUAUACAAAUACCCUGCAUUUAUAUAGCCCUUAUGAAAAAAUAGGAUAUUUAAAAAAAUUCUAAACUUCACAGAAAUAAAUUUCGAAAGAACACAUAAGUUGCAGUGGUGGGUUUGGUCAAUGAAGUAUUAAACUGACAAUACAUAUUACACGUCCAUACUAGUUUGAUUGACUAAAUUUAAUAUUACGUAACUUGAAAUGUGAUCGAAAAUGAAGUCGAUAUCCUCGUGAAUAUCAUAGGUACACCAAUAUAUUAAGAGUACAUAACUUUACACUCCUAAAUCAACAACACACUAUGCAUAAUAGGAUGUCAUAAUAUUUGCGCGGUCAUUGUUAGUUAGGAUAAUCAUACUGAAUAAUUUUUUUAAUGAAAAACAAUAUAAAACAAUUUUGACAUUUUUCAGGUAAAUUGACAUUUUAUGAGAAGGAUGACACAGGCGUAAAAUGGAUCAAGCUAUAUUGUUGGACUAUAAUGGAGAGAAGAAAAUGUAAGUUUAAAAUAUCGCCAAUAUCGGGCUACACAUAAUUUCUUGUUUUCUUUUUUAAAUAAUGUAUUUUUAAAAGCUUUGAAAAUUAAUUUAAGUGUAAUAUUUAACAUGUGGGAAGAAUUCGAAGGCCGCGACUGGUUUUUGAAAGUAUCUUAGGAUUAAGAAAAAAACAUGUUCUAAUAUGAUCUUAGGACAUAUAUAAGUCCUGAGUAAUGUUUUUGAAAGUAUCUUACUAUAGGUUAAGAUAAUUCUUUAAAUUAAUCGUAAAAUUAAGUCAUCAAAAUACAUGUUUAAGAUGGUGUCCGGAUCGCAGAAAUAUGUUUCCUUUAAAAUUAUAUCGAUACAUGUAACGAAUUUAUUUUGCUACUACAUGUAUCAGCCUUUUCAUUCAUUAACUCUUCAUUGGAUAAAAAUAAGAAUUCAAUUACUGUAAACAGCAAUGUAUGAAAUAGAUGUAUUUUUACUUUAUUUCGAUCUGAUGAGUUAAGAACUUUUGAACUGAUUUUGAUAAUGUGUUCUGUUGUUGUACUGUUACACUACUGUCCCAGGUUAGGGGAAGGUUGGCACGUCUUCAAACUAGUUUUACCCCCGACUCAUUCUGUAUGUGCAUGCCCCAAAUCAGGAGUUUGUAAUUCAGUGGUUGUCGUUUGUUGUUGUACAUCAUAAUUGUUUUUCCUUCAUUAUUUUGUACAUUAAUCAGGGUGGUAGUAUUCUGAUUUGUCAUGUUUGUAUUGUUUAAAUUCUAUCAUUUCUGGGCCUUUUAAAACUUACUAUGCAGUAUGGGUUUUACUCAUUGCUGAAGGAAACCUUUAUGUGUUAUCAAUUUCUGUGUCAUUUUGUCUCUUGUGGAAACUCACGUUCGUCUCAUUUUAGCAAUCAUACCACAUCUUCCUGUUUCAAAUUUGUCCGUCAGCGGAAGUGUAUCCCCAUUCUAUUAUCUCGAAUUUUAUUUAGAAUGUGUCUACUGGACGUUACGCAACUAACACUCAACUGAUCGAUCAAAUUUGAUGUUUAGUACAUGUAAUAAACAGUUUUUAGUAUUGAACACGAAGGGAGCAUAUGGAGGAAUUGAUUAUGCUUCAUAUAUAUGCAUUAUGUCAUGUGUACGAUGUGCAAACAUGAGCCUCAAUAUCUGUUUAGACAUAGAUUUUUCCAAUUGUAUUAAACUACAACAAAAGACUUCUAGUUUUAAUAUAUCAUAUUAUAUUACAUAUUUAUUAACAUCCAACCAUAAAAGCUUCAUUUUAACAACGUGCUGAUUGUAAAUAGUUUCUUUUUAUUUAUUACCUCUAAUCUUUAUUAUAGUUUUAUGAUUAUUUGAAUAACUUGUUAAUAUAUGAUCUCGAAAAUCCCAAGUGUACAACCUCUCUUUGGUAAAGUCGGGGGAAUGGAGUGGGGUCAACAAAUUGACACUUUUCUGUAAUGAUUAUAUUUUUUCGAAAGUUACGAAACGUAAAACGUUAAGACUAUCACAAGACUUCAAGAAUGUCGAGUCAUGUCAAAAUGUAUCUUAAGGGAUUUUGUGAAUCAUCUAAAGAUUUGUUUCAAUAUUAUUGAAGAUUUUUUGGACUGUUUAUCACACAUGCACUGCUCACGUCAGAAAUGACGUUCCUGCAUCUUUUAUAUAGAUUAUCAUACGGAGUUUAUAUGGAUACGGAAUACUUCAUCUUUCUUUUUGUAACAGUACAUACAAAUGUGUACAUAUGCUUUAAGCAAGAAAAAGAUUUUGUACAUUAAAGAUGCUGAGAUAAUAACUGUCUUGAACGAGGGGAUUUAUUUAGUUUUCAGUAUAAAUUGGUAGAAUGGUCCAAGCAAACAAUAAUUUUAGGACCAUCUUAUAUCUUUUGCAUUAUUUUCUAAUAAAAAUAAAUUCGGAUAUUCAUCCUAAGAUGAAGUAUGUUAAACGAAUCCAGGUACAUACAUUGUACAUAUGAGACUGAGAUAUGUUCGAGUUACACCUAUAAAAUACUUCUACUUCUACUUCUACCACUAAGUGACCACCGUCAUUUGGUUGACUAUCCUGUCAUUGUUUGGUUUUAAGACACCAUCGAUAAACAGCUCCUUCAAUGUUAAAGAGUAUCCAAAAUCAGAAUUUUUUGGUAGGUGACGUUAAAGAACUUGAAAUCUCUUACAUAGUUUACACCUCUCGAUAGUGGAGAUAUGUAGUAAAUGUUAACCAGACAUCAACCAAACAAUGAAAUGGUACUAAACAAGAAAGAGAGUUAAUAUAUAGACCUUUAGGCCUAUUUGAAAUUGUGCCAUGACCAACUGCAACUUAAGUCUUUGCCAUGACAAAAUGCAACUUAAGUCUGUGCUAUGACAAAGUGCAACUUAAGUCUGUGCUAUGACAAAGUGCAACUUAAGUCUGUGCCAUGACAAACUGCAACUUAAGUCUUUGCCAUGACAAACUGCAACUAAAGUCUUUGACAUGACAAAGUGCAACUUAAGUCUGUGUAUGACAAAGAGCAACUCAAGUCUGUGCCAUGAACAAAUGAAACUUAAACCUAUUCCAUGAAAAUGAGCAACUUAGGUCGGUAACAUGACAAAGUGCAACUUAAACCUAUGCCAUGACAAAGUGCAGCUUAAGUCUGUGCAAUGACAAACUGCAACUUAAGUCUGUUCCAUGAAAAAGCGCAACUUAAGUAUGUGCCAUGAAAAAGUGCAACUUAAGUCGGUACCAUGACAAAGUGCAACUUAAGUCUGUGCCAUGCAAAAGUGCAACUUAAGUCCGUGCCAUAACAAAGUGCAACUUAAACCUAUGCCAUGACAAACAGCAACUUAAGUUGUGCCAUGAAAAAGUGUAACUCAAGUCGGUGCCAUGACAAAGUGCAACUUAAACCUAUGCCAUGACAAAGUGCAACUUAAGUCGGUGCCAUGACAAAGUGCAACUUAAACCUAUGCCAUGACAAAGUGUAACUCAAGUCGGUGCCAUGAAAAAGUGUAACUCAAGUCGGUGCCAUGACAAAGUGAAACUUAAAUCGGUGCCACGAUAAAGUGCAACUAAAGUCUGUCCUGCGACAUAGUGUAGCUUACUUACAUUUGUGUAAGUCUAAGUCUUAAGAUAUAUUUUAACUUUUGUCAUUACUUGUAUAUAUGAGAAAAAUAACAAUUCUAGUACCAAGACAAAUAGUAAAACAGAUAAAUAAAUGUAAAUAGGUCUAUUGCUAAGACUAAGUACGACGACAAAUACUUGUAUUUUAAAGAUAUCGAUGUAUUUAACGGUAAUUGAUUGACUAAAAAGGUAUGGUAUUGCAAUCGUGACCCAAUGCAACAUAUUUUGGCAUCGAACAUCAAUAAAGAGACAUAUGUUGUCUAAAUGUGAAUCUGAUAAAGGAGUAUUAUCACCGUCAAUCUUAUAAUAACUAUAAACAAAACGACCAUAGUAAUUUUAAGUGUCAUUUUACUAGCUAGCAGGUUUUAUUAAUUUUUACAGUGUGUUACAUUUAGCAAUAAUAGUCCGUUCGAUCAUAAAAAUGUUGUACAGUGUUUUUUUUAUAGUGGCAUAUUAUGCUAAUCACUAAUUUAAUAUAUUUGAAUAAUAAUACCAUUACUAUACGUAGCUUUUAAUCCAUCACACGUUUAAUAGUAAAAUUAACACCAUUGAGGGAGUACAUUAUAAAGAAUUAGAACAUUCACAUGGAUUUAACUCUAAUUCUGAUCAUUGAGCAGCAUGAUUUCUUUUAACUAGUAGUGUGUGAUUUAAACGUUCAUCUGACAUUUGAACUGGAAUCAUGACCCCAAAAAAAAGGUAGCAUAUCUGACAUAUCACUAACUUUUACAUUAGGGAGCCUCCAUUUUGUUCUCAUUUUUUUUUUUUGGGGGGGGGGUCUAGGAUAAAAUCAAAAGCAGGACAGCAGUUUGAGUAAAAAAGGGGCAGAAUGAGACUUUAUUUUGAGAAGAAGGUUGAAUUCAGAAUGACGCGAAAUUGCUGUUACCUAAUGAAAAAAAUACAAGUAAAGUAAUUAUAUCAAAAUAAGGAUUGUCAAUGAGAACACAAUCCAUCGGAGAUUAAGUAACAAUGAUGUAAAUAAUAUGAUUGCUUUAAAGAAGGGCCCGAAAAAGCUAAAUAAUUCCAUAUAGAGUAAAGACAAUUAUAACCUUUAAAUGCAAACCCUAAAGUUUGGAUGGCCGUGGUCUAUCGAUGUAAAAGAUUCUUUGAUUAAUAUUGCUGUAUCUUAAAAUGUACUCGUAUCCAACUGUUAUACUGUUUAAACAUAAUAUAAAAUUGUAUAUAUUUUUCAUAUUGUACUGAAAUAUUUAAUUGCUGUCAUCUUGAAAAUUUGUAUAUUGUACUUAUAUGGAGAGGAUUUUCUUAAGUUGUUAUAACUUGUAUCCAAUCCUAUUGUAUAUUUAGACAAUAAAAUAUGUUUAAACUUAAUCGAUGUAAACAAUUGUCAAAAGUGUAUAAAUUGUCACAAUUGUCUUCAGCGCAAUUCUAAAAGCUGCACAACAUUUAUGUAAAAUAUUUAACAAAAUAUAAAUAUAUCACAUAUAUGAAUGAAACAAUAACAGGGAAACAAGAUAUACAUUUGUAUACGGGAAGUAGAAAAGGAAAUUUACUGAUGUCAAUUUUGUCAAGAUACAAUUUAGAUAAGACAUUUAGAUUGAGGUCCAACAAGGGAAAGAUUAAUACUUUUCCAAAAUUUUUCAAGUGCAUUCGAAAAUGUAUAACAUGAGUUCCAGAUUAUCUUAAAUUAUCAAAUACAAUUCCGUUAUCAAUUAACGAUAUGUAUUAUUCACAUCUGUCUACAGUUUCAUCGUCCUGAACAUUCAUGAAAUAUUCGCCACUGAACGUUAAGCAACCAACAAUCAAUCAAUCAAUUUAUCAAUCACAGGCAUUUUUUUGGCUGAAGCUGACCUCCUUGUAUAUCAACUAUCAAAGUUAAAAGGAAUAUAUGAGAUGUUAAGAUAACGUGAGAGGGAACUAUUGAAUAACAGAAUACCAGUUACAUUUGCAAGAGAGAAUAUUAGAAUUUUUAUAGGUUUUCUCGUUUGCCUUUAUUCCUCAAUUUUACUUAACAGAUUCAGCUCCGUAUACUAGUAGGUUCAGCUUCAUUUGGCUUUAAUGGUUGCUAGGUACUGCGACAUAAAAAAAUAAUAAAAAUAUACACAUUAUCUAGAAUGGUAAACCUUCAAGUUACUACAGGUUCCUUUCUGUAGUAUGAUAUUGUAAAGUAUACAUUACAUAUGUUCUACCUAGAACUGAUUCUGACAGUUCUACGUAGAACAGUUCUAGGUUAGAACAGUUCUAUGACAGAUUAUUCUGACAGUUCUAAUGAGAGGUGAGAAGUGAUCUCCACUGUACAUAUGUUUUAUUGUGAUAUGGUAUGUGAUAUGGUAAAUAGAUAUAGGAAGAUGUGGUGUGAAUGCCAAUGAGACAACUCUCCAUCCAAAUAACAAUUUAUAAAAAGUAAACCAUUAUAGAUCAAUGUACGGCCUUCAACACGGAGCCUUGGCUCACACCGAACAACAAGCUAUAAAGGGCCCCAAAAUUACUAGUGUAAAAACCAUUCAACGGGAAAACCAACGGUCUAAUCUAUAUAAAAAUAACGAGAAAAGAAGUUUGUUAUUUAUUAUGUAUAAAUAAUGAUAUAUAUGAGACGUUAAUUGUUUUAAUUUUGUUUCAGGUAUAGUGAUCCCGUGUUUAACCUGUGCCUUUGUGUGAGUAUUCCAGACAGACGUCAACAAAUUCGAAUUUUUUAAAGUCUUCGAUUAUCAGAUUAAAAAUAUAACAAAACGUAACUCGACGAAAAACACUUCACUAUUUUUUAAAGGAAACAGCAUUCCAGUUCAAUC
rnacentral:lncRNA from 1 species